rnacentral:misc_RNA from 1 species
GCAAGAAAGAACCCACCAGUUUUGCCACUUGGUUCACCAAAAUUUGCCUAACAAACAACUUGAACCAGAACCAGGCAACCAAUCUCUCUCAUCGUCUAUCCAAUUGCCAAUUUCUGAGCUUUCUAUUGUACUUGGAAGGAUGUCAAGCUAUUCAAUUGAGUCCACUACAGUAGAAACCAAUGAUGGAGUGAAGCUCCUGACGAGGCUCUUCAAGCCCAUAGAAGAUGAGAUCAAAGACAAAUUGGUGAUUGUUCUUGUCCAUCAGUAUUCAGUCUUGGGUGGUUGUCAAGCUCUUUUAAAAGGAAUGGCAAUUGGGUUGGCACAGAAAGGUUACAGGGCUGUCACUUUUGACAUGAGAGGUGCUGGGAGUUCCACAGGGAGGCCUUCUCUCACUGGGUUUUCUGAAAUCAAGGAUGUAAUUGCUGUCUGCAAAUGGGUUUGCGAAAAUUUAUCAACUGACAAGAUUUUGUUGGUGGGUUCCUCUGCAGGUGCACCAAUUGCAGGAUCUGCAGUAGAUGAGAU